AUGGCAGGUUACUACAGGAGAUUUGUCCCCAACUAUGGCCUUAUAUGCAGACCACAGCACAACAUACUCAAGAAAAACUCCUUUCAUUGGACUGAUGAACAAACAGAGGCAUUUAACUUGCUCAAACUCAAGCUCACAACUGCUCCUGUUUUGGCCCUUCCAAAUUUCCAAGAAAAGUUUGUUCUUGAAACAGAUGCCAGUGGCUAUGGCAUUGGGGCUGUCCUCAUGCAGAACCGGGAGACCUCUAGCUUAUUUAAGCAAGACACUAGGGGUGAAAGCAUCUGCUAUGUCAACUUAUGA
rnacentral:rRNA from 1 species